AUACGUAGGGGGCAAGCGUUGUCCGGAAUGAUUGGGCGUAAAGGGCGCGUAGGCGGCCUGUUAAGUCUGGAGUGAAAGUCCUGCUUUUAAGGUGGGAAUUGCUUUGGAAACUGGCGGGCUGGAGUGCAGGAGAGGUUAGUGGAAUUCCCGGUGUAGCGGUGAAAUGCGUAGAGAUCGGGAGGAACACCAGUGGCGAAGGCGACUUCCUGGCACAAUACUGACGCUCAUGUGCGAAAGCUAGGGCAGC
rnacentral:rRNA from 1 species